rnacentral:rRNA from 1 species
AGUGAACGCUGGCGGUAGGCCUAACACAUGCAAGUCGAACGGCAGCACAGUAAGAGCUUGCUCUUACGGGUGGCGAGUGGCGGACGGGUGAGGAAUACAUCGGAAUCUACUUUUUCGUGGGGGAUAACGUAGGGAAACUUACGCUAAUACCGCAUACGACCUACGGGUGAAAGCAGGGGAUCUUCGGACCUUGCGCGAUUGAAUGCGCCGAUGUCGGAUUAGCUAGUUGGCGGGGUAAAGGCCCACCAAGGCGACGAUCCGUAGCUGGUCUGAGAGGAUGAUCAGCCACACUGGAACUGGGACACGGACCAGACUCCUACGGGAGGCAGCAGUGGGGAAUAUUGGACAAUGGGCGCAAGCCUGAUCCAGCCAUACCGCGUGGGUGAAGAAGGCCUUCGGGUUGUAAAGCCCUUUUGUUGGGAAAGAAAAGCAGCAGGUUAAUACCCCGCUGUUCUGACGGUACCCAAAGAAUAAGCACCGGCUAACUUCGUG